rnacentral:rRNA from 1 species
GAUGAACGCUGGCGGCGUGCUUAACACAUGCAAGUCGAACGGUGAGGGCGGAGCUUGCUCUGCUGGAUCAGUGGCGAACGGGUGAGUAACACGUGAGCAAUCUGCCCCUGACUCUGGGAUAAGCGCUGGAAACGGCGUCUAAUACUGGAUACGAGCUGCGAAGGCAUCUUCAGCAGCUGGAAAGAACUUCGGUCAGGGAUGAGCUCGCGGCCUAUCAGCUUGUUGGUGAGGUAACGGCUCACCAAGGCGUCGACGGGUAGCCGGCCUGAGAGGGUGACCGGCCACACUGGGACUGAGACACGGCCCAGACUCCUACGGGAGGCAGCAGUGGGGAAUAUUGCACAAUGGGCGAAAGCCUGAUGCAGCAACGCCGCGUGAGGGACGACGGCCUUCGGGUUGUAAACCUCUUUUAGCAGGGAAGAAGCGAAAGUGACGGUACCUGCAGAAAAAGCGCCGGCUAACUACGUG